rnacentral:rRNA from 1 species
UGGGGAAUUUUGGACAAUGGGCGAAAGCCUGAUCCAGCAAUGCCGCGUGUGUGAAGAAGGCCUUCGGGUUGUAAAGCACUUUUGUCCGGAAAGAAAUCCUUGGCUCUAAUACAGUCGGGGGAUGACGGUACCGGAAGAAUAAGCACCGGCUAACUACGUGCCAGCAGCCGCGGUAAUACGUAGGGUGCAAGCGUUAAUCGGAAUUACUGGGCGUAAAGCGUGCGCAGGCGGUUUGCUAAGACCGAUGUGAAAUCCCCGGGCUCAACCGGGAACUGCAUGGUGACUGGCAGGCUAGAGUAUGGCAGAGGGGGGUAGAGUUCCACGUGUAGCAGUGAAAUGCGUAGAGAUGUGGAGGAAUACCGAUGGCGAAGGCAGCCCCCUGGGCCAAUACUGACGCUCAUGCACGAAAGCGUGGGGAGCAAACAGGAUUAGAUACCCUGGUAGUCCACGCCCUAAACGAUGUCAACUAGUUGUUGGGGAAUUCAUUUCCUUAGUAACGUAGCUAACGCGUGAAGUUGACCGCCUGGGGAGUACGGUCGCAAGAUUAAAACUUAAAUGAAUUGACGGGGUCAUAGCUGUUU